rnacentral:rRNA from 1 species
CCUACGGGAGGCAGCAGUGGGGAAUAUUGCACAAUGGGGGAAACCCUGAUGCAGCGAAGCCGCGUGAGUGAAGAAGUAAUUCGUGAUGGAAAGCUCUAUCAGCAGGGAAGAAAAUGACGGUACCUGAGUAAGAAGCCCCGGCUAACAAAGUGCCAGCAGCCGCGGUCAUACGCAGGAGCCGAGCAUUAUCCGGAGUGAGUGGGUGUAAAGAGUUGCGUAGGUGGCAUAAUAAGUAGCUAGUGAAAUCUGGUGGCUCAACCAUUCAGACUAUUAGCUAAACUGUUAAUCUCGAGAACGUUAGGGGUAACUGGAAUUUCUAGUGUAGGAGUGAAAUGCGUAGAUAUUAGAAGGAACACCAAUAGCGUAGGCAGCUUGCUGGGACAGUUCUGACACUAAGGCACGAAAGCGUAGGUAGCAAACGGGAUUAGAUACCCUUGUAGUC